CAGGAUUUUUCGUACGUUAGUCAAAGUUUUCGGAUGUACAAUCUAGUUUUGCGAGCGGCGAAUGCGCGAGGCACCUAGGGGGGUCUGUCCCCCAGGAAUUUUUAUAUUUUUAAACCUCAGAAACGCAAUUUGCAUCACUCUGAAAGCAGCUUCAACAAAAAAUUAACUUUAUGAAAUGGGAGCUAAUUAUAGCAACUAUCAGUCUGACUGACUCUCACAACUCGCUCCUUAGGGAAAAGUAAAGGGGAAGUACUUGCAGAAAUGCGAUAAUUGUGGAAGAUGUUUCAUUUUAUCUCAUGAUAGUAC